UGUCCGCAUGAUAGGAAUACAUGGAAUUGUUGAAAGGGCCUUAUUUCUGUAGUUCGAUCUCUUGGACACAUGGUAGAGACAGAGUUGUAGAGACUAAUCACAUGUGGCUAAUAUAUCUACCUCACACUCACUUUGUGAAAUCAAAGUCUAGUUGUGCCAAUGUAUUCAGGAUUAAGGCUUGUUUUGGUCUAGUUGGGGCACCCCAUGUGGUGCAAAAGUGUGGGAUCAGUCUUAUGAGAAGUGGUUCAGGAUGAAGAACCAAAUGGAACUUAGUGGUUGUUGUUGCACUAAGGAACUCACUGGCCUUCAAAUGGGAACGGGCAUGCAAUUUUGUUAAAUUAAACUUUCUUCUAAUUUAUCAAAACAAAACAAUACAAAUGGUCGCUCAAUGUAGCUUCUUGAU
rnacentral:lncRNA from 1 species